UAACAAGGAUUCCCUUAGUAAUGGCGAAUGAAACGGGAAUAGCCCAACUUGAAAAUCUCCCUUUGGAGAAUUGUAGUCUAGAGAAGCGCCCUCUGCGGCGGCCGGAGCCUAAGUCCGUUGGAAAACGGCGUCGGAGAGGGUGAGAACCCCGUCGGCUCUAGGCUUAGCUGCUCCACGAGGUGCUUUCCACGAGUCGGGUUGUUUGGGAAUGCAGCCCAAAAUGGGAGGUACAUCCCUUCUAAGGCUAAAUACUGGCGAGAGACCGAUAGCGAACAAGUACCGUGAGGGAAAGAUGAAAAGAACUUUGAAAAGAGAGUUAAAAAGUGCUUGAAAUUGUUGAGAGGGAAGCGUUUGGAGGUUAUAGGUGCGCCUAGGCUUAUACGGUUCUAACGAGCCGUUGUAUGUGCUAGGUGCUGGUCAACAUGGGUUAGCUUGGCGGGAUAACAACGGGGGUUGAUACCCCGUCUAUGCCGCCGGGUUGAUCAAGGUGUGAAUGGCGCUCUGUCCUUCGGGAGCUGCGUCAUCAAGA
rnacentral:rRNA from 1 species